rnacentral:rRNA from 1 species
UAGGGAAUAUUCCACAAUGGGCGCAAGCCUGAUGGAGCGACACCGCGUGCAGGAUGAAGGCCUUAGGGUCGUAAACUGCUUUUAUAGGGGAAGAUUAUGACGGUACCCUAAGAAUAAGGAUUUGCUAACUCCGUGCCAGCAGCCGCGGUCAUACGGAGGAUCCAAGCGUUAUCCGGAAUUACUGGGCGUAAAGCGUACGCAGGUGGUUCAUUAAGUGAAAUGCCAAAUCGCAGGGCUCAACUCUGCGUUAGUAUUUCAUACUGGUGAACUCGAGGAAGGCAGAGGUGAGCGGAAUUUCUAGUGUAGGGGUGAAAUCCGUAGAUACUAGGAGGAACGCCAAUGGUGAAGACAGCUCACUGGGCCUUAUCUGACACUCAUGUACGAAAGCGUGGGGAGCGAACCGG